rnacentral:tRNA from 1 species
GCGGGAAUGCUGGAAUUGGCAGACAGGCAUGACUAAGGAUCAUGUGGUCCACGACCGUGAGGGUUCAAGUCCCUUUUCCCGCA